GGAUUAGAUACCCUGGUAGUCCACGCCGUAAACGAUGUGUGCUAGACGUUGGUGGUUCAGCCAUCGGUGUCGCAGCUAACGCGUUAAGCACACCGCCUGGGGAGUACGGUCGCAAGAUUAAAACUCAAAGGAAUUGACGGGGGCCCGCACAAGCGGUGGAGCAUGUGGUUUAAUUCGACGCAACGCGCAGAACCUUACCAGCCCUUGACAUGGGGAUCGCGAGUAGUGGAGACACUUCUCUUCAGUUCGGCUGGAUCCCACACAGGUGCUGCAUGGCUGUCGUCAGCUCGUGCCG
rnacentral:rRNA from 1 species